rnacentral:lncRNA from 1 species
AUAAAGUUAGCCUGCCACAAGUAUGUCACUGUAGUAACAACAACACAAGUUUGCUGUCAUCCAAGGGAAACAGUACAAGUUUGCUGUCAUUCCAGGGCUGGGUGGGACUCCCAGCUUCCAGGGAUGCCUCUGCACUGUGAGCUCAGCAGCAACCGACCAGAGAAUGAAGCAGAAACUCCCAGGGCCUGGAUGGGGAGCUGGUAGCACACAGAUUCCUCUUGCUACCAUUUAAAUGACACCGUUUCUCAGCCAGCUCAAAUUCAUGCACGAAUCCUGCAAGAAUUUCUUUCUGAUUUUAAAAUGCCGGGAUCUACGACUGGAGGAGAAUGACCUAUUCAGGUAUCCUGGUUGAAAAUUGGAUGAAAGAAUUAUCUAACAUCAACUUAUGAUGUGACCACGCCAGAGUAUCCACCAUGUAACAUGAGCAACCCGAAAGGAUGAGCUUCAGAUGCGGUGGAAGACAGUGUGGCCUCCAAAACUACUUCCAGGCACCCCUCCUGCAACCUCUCUUAGGUGGUGACGUCUGUCCCACCCUAACAGAGUAAAGAGCAAGGCUUUCUAGCCAAACUCAACCUAUGGACCGAUAGAACUUCAUCUGAGAACUGAAGACUGCCAGGGAUUUGGACUGCAAAGCUGCUAACGGAGCCCUCCCCAACCUGGCCUCCCUCACCACUCCCAGACUGAAAAUCUAGCUGGCAAUAGAAAUCAGUCAACACCAAGAGUCAAGAGAAAGCUUUUUCCACGAUUGUUCUGCAAGACUGGAGGAAGAGAGGCACCACGACUUGGGACCGACUGGAACAAGCCGCUUAAAGGCGAAAAGGGUGAGGAGCCAACAGCAAGAGAGACACGCAGUAAAAGGAGAGCUCAUCUAAAACGA